rnacentral:lncRNA from 1 species
UUUUUUAUUUGUUCAUCUUGCCUUCUUUAUUUUAUCGGAUGACAACAAGAUGUUUAAUUUUUUUUAUAAUAGCACACACAAGCUCAACGACAUGGACAUUUUCAUCAGCUACUCUUUCAAUAAGAUAAUGAAUAUGGAGUUAAUAGGGAGUUAUUUCUCAGAAUAAGAAUGUACUUGUAUUGUAUUAGUAUUUUAAGAAUGAAGAACACAGAUUUUUGUUUUAUUAUCAUUCAUAUUCUGAUACAGCACUUAGCUUGUGGAUUUGAUGUACAAAUUUUCUACAAAUUUUUCGCAAGCUUUCAGUUGUGGGUUUGGAAAUUCACUUGUGCUGGAAGACAUAAUGAUUGUACAUAUAUAAUUAUUUCCAUCAAUCAUAAUUUUCUAAAAAUCUGGAAAUAACACAUAAUUUCCAACAAUCAAUAUAAAGAACAACAACACUUGAUCAGUUGAUUGUCUUUGGUCUGGUUGACAGAAUUCUGAUCAUCACUCCGGCCUCUAAAGCACAGACCUACAUCCCAAUCACUCAUGUUGAUCAAAACCUGCAAAGCAAAGAGAAUAAUGUAUUACUGCGAAAUGUAGUUCGACCUCCAUAAUGUACACAUAUGCAUAUAGAUGCUUCCCCUCCCCCAACUUUGAAGGGGAGGGAUUUUACCAUUAUCAAAAUUCAUCAUAGGCUAAAACAGAUCUAAAGAAGCAACAUAAGUUUCUUUAAACUUAAAAAAAAAAAAAAAUUUAAAAGGCUUGGUGUCAUGGUGGAUUGGUGGCUGUUUUAGGCGCAAGUUCCAAUUUAUUCAUUUGGAACCGGUGCUAUGUAACUCAAUAUAUUCUUUCCAAGAUAGGCAUCUUCCAUCAUUCUCAUUAUUGACAGGUUAAGCCAAUGUACAGGAUGCAAUUAUCUAAAAGAAAAUUCGAGCCAAGCACAAUAUAUAUUUUAUAGAGUGGAAUCAUUUGGGAAAGAAAACAAAUAAUUCACAGAAUUCAAAUAAUCAAAAAACUCCACAAAAGCAAGUAGCCAGAUGCCAGAAUCUCAAAAGAACAUCUAACAAUAAAGAACCCAAAUAAGAAACAAACAAAUGAACUGAAAAAGCCCCCGAUCCAAAUUACCUCAGCUCACAGACGCCACAAAAGCUUCCCCUUUUUAAGCUUCCUUGAACAAAAUAGCAAAAUCUCUUAAAACUCACUAAGCUAAGUGUUUUUGUUUUCAGACACAAAACUAAAGUAACUGACUUGCCCAAUACAAAGAAAACUUUACGACAGAAUCUAAAAAGAAUUUUAAACCGUGCUGAUAUUCUCAACACACUGAGCAAAAAAUAGUUUACCAUGAAACAUAACUAAAUCUUCACAAACUCAUAAUCCCACGCAACCAAAUUUGAAAUUAAUGUAAUGAAUUGAAGCAAACUACCUUCAGAAUUUGAUUAAGGCAGCUGUCAGAGACGAGACAACGGCAGCUGAGGAGAGAACCCCACGGCGGAAGCCGCAAUUCAAUUUUCUAAGAGAGCCGAGAGAGUGAGGCGCCGUAAGGUAGCGAGACGCAGCCGACCGCGCCAGGGGGGGGGGGGGGGGGGGUGGGGGCUUACAGUGAGGACGAAGCGUGGUGAGAUUUAUUGGCGUGAGAGAGAACGCGUGUGGGUUUGGAAUGGCGC